UACGGAGGGUGCAAGCGUUAUCCGGAUUCACUGGGUUUAAAGGGUGCGUAGGUGGGUAGGUAAGGCAGUGGUGAAAUCUCCGAGCUUAACUCGGAAACUGCCGUUGAUACUAUUUGUCUUGAAUAUUGUGGAGGUAAGCGGAAUAUGUCAUGUAGCGGUGAAAUGCUUAGAUAUGACAUAGAACACCAAUUGCGAAGGCAGCUUACUACACAACGAUUGACGCUGAGGCACGAAAGCGUGGGGAUCAAACAGG
rnacentral:rRNA from 1 species